AUCAGUUGUUUGCGUGCCCUAUGAAGACAAGACUGCUAAAAUCAGUUUCCUAUUGAAGAUACUUCUUUCUGUAAGAAAUAUUAUAGUUUGAUUACAUUUUAGGGUAUCCCAGGAGUAAAUAAAAACGUAUUUUGACUUGUUGAAACAAAGUUUAGGGGUAGAUUUUCGGAUUCCUUUCUCUGCACGUUGAAUGAGUGGAUUACUCAUAUCGAUGGCGCCAACUAAACUGACUUUUUGGGAUAUAAAGAAGGAGUUUAUCUAACAAAAUGACACUACAUCUUAUAGCUGGGACCCUUUGGAUGACAAAUCAGAGGAAUAUUUUUCAAAAAUCUUGAAGGAGUUCCCACAUAUGCUGAGGACUUGUUGGCUGCUUCUCCUUCACUCUGCGAUCCAACUCAUCCCAAACCAUCUCAAUUGGGCUGAGGUCGGGUGAUUGUGGAGGCCAGGUCAUCUGAUGCAGCACUCCAUCACUCUCCUUCUUGGUCAAAUAGCCCUUACACAGCCUGGAGGUGUGUUGGGUCAUUGUCCUGUUGAAAAACAAAUGAUAGUCCCACUAAUCCCAAACCAGAUGGGAUGGCGUAUCGCUGCAGAAUGCUGUGGUAGCCAUGCUGGGCUCGAUCUGCUGUAGUCUCCACAACUGGAUCAUGCAUAGUUUUGUAGUGAUUCCUAUGUUGGUGAUGUAAAGAAUAUUUGCUGGUCUGUGGUGUGUAAUGAGG
rnacentral:lncRNA from 1 species